rnacentral:rRNA from 1 species
UACAGAGGGGGCAAGCGUUGUUCGGAAUUACUGGGCGUAAAGGGCGCGUAGGCGGCCAACUAAGUCAGACGUGAAAUCCCCAGGCUCAACCUGGGAACUGCGUCUGAUACUGGAUGGCUCGAGUUCGGGAGAGGGAAGUGGAAUUCCAGGUGUAGCGGUGAAAUGCGUAGAUAUCAGGAGGAACACCAAUUGCGAAGGCAGCUCGCUGGGACGUUACUGACGCUGAGACGCGAAAGCGUGGGGAGCAAACAGG